UGGACUGGAUAAAGGGAAAUGAGGUAGGUAGUGGCAACAUUUGGAGUCAAGUAUGGCUGUUGCACUAACAAGUUUCUUUUCUUCCUCUCCUCUGCUCUGUAGCCUCUUUUCAUGAGGGGUACCCUGGCUGGGCAGGCUUUCUUCUCUUUUUCGAAGCGAGCACUGACUGCUCAAGAACAAGUUCCUCUGUUGUUAGCACUCAAGCUUCUCUUUUCCCCCCUAAACUAUGGGGCUUAUGUGCACAGAAGGCACUCAGGGAGUGAUCUCGACUUUCACCAUGGCACCAACUGGAAAGCGCUGGUAUGUACAAAUUACUUAACUGUCUUUGCCAUCAAUUAAGAGAAAAUAACAAGGAUAUUGUACUUAAAACUCACACAAGUGUUCGUGGAAAGGCUUACACCCUCUCUUGACUUCUUGUAGCCAUGAAUCACCU
rnacentral:lncRNA from 1 species